UGAGGAAUAUUGGUCAAUGGACGCAAGUCUGAGCCAGCCAAGUAGCGUGCAGGAUGACGGCCCUAUGGGUUGUAAACUGCUUUUAUAUGGGGAUAAAGUGGGGAACGUGUUCCCUUUUGCAGGUACCAUAUGAAUAAGGACCGGCUAAUUCCGUGCCAGCAGCCGCGGUAAUACGGAAGGUCCAGGCGUUAUCCGGAUUUAUUGGGUUUAAAGGGAGCGUAGGCUGUUUGUUAAGCGUGUUGUGAAAUGUAGGAGCUCAACUUUUAGAUUGCAGCGCGAACUGGCAGACUUGAGUGCGCACAACGUAGGCGGAAUUCAUGGUGUAGCGGUGAAAUGCUUAGAUAUCAUGACGAACUCCGAUUGCGAAGGCAGCUUACGGGAGCGCAACUGACGCUAAAGCUCGAAGGUGCGUGUAUCGAACAGG
rnacentral:rRNA from 1 species